AAAAGUACUAGUGGCCUUAGGUUUUUAAAAAUAGCAAAAAAAGUAAACGGUCAUGAUACAUAUUCAAGUUCAUUUCUGAAUAGUAAAAUGAAAGUACUUCAAUUAACUGUGAAUGUAGAAUUUUUUGCAGUGUUAGAAAGUGGUGAAAAUUCUAAAAAGGCUAUCAUUAUCCCUUAUGGGCCAGGAAAUACUACCGUGCCACCUGUAUUCUGAUUCACAUU
rnacentral:lncRNA from 1 species